rnacentral:rRNA from 1 species
GACGAACGCUGGCGGCGUGCUUAACACAUGCAAGUCGAACGGAAAGGCCCUGCUUUUGUGGGUUGCUCGGGGGGCGAACGGGUGAGUAACACGUGAGUAACCUGUCCUUGACUUUGGGAUAGCAUCAGGAAACUGGGGUUAAUACUGGAUAGGAGCUCCCCCUGCGUGGUGGGGGUUGGAACGUUUCGGCGGUUGGGGAUGGACUCGCGGGUUAUCAGUUUGUUGGUGGGGGAGUGGUUUACCAAGGCUUUGACGGGUCGCCGGCCUGAGUGGGUGACCGGCGACAUUGGGACUGAGAUACGGCCCAGACUCCUACGGGAGGCAGCAGGGGGAAAUAUGGCACAAUGGGCGGAAGCCGGAGGAAGAAACGCCGCGUGCGGGAUGACGGCCUUCGGGUUGAAAACCGCUUCAGCCUGUGACGAAGCGGGAGUGACGGUAACGGGAGAAGAAGCACCGGCUAACUACGUG